rnacentral:rRNA from 1 species
AUUGAACGCUGGCGGCAGGCCUAACACAUGCAAGUCGAGCGAGCGGCGGACGGGUGAGUAAUGUAUGGGGACCUGCCUGAUAGAGGGGGAUAACUACUGGAAACGGUAGCGAAUACCGCAUACUAUCCGAUGAGCCCAGAUGGGAUUAGCUAGUAGGUGGGGUAAAGGCUCACCUAGGCGACGAUCCCUAGCUGGUCUGAGAGGAUGAUCAGCCACACUGGGACUGAGACACGGCCCAGACUCCUACGGGAGGCAGCAGUGGGGAAUAUUGCACAAUGGGCGCAAGCCUGAUGCAGCCAUGCCGCGUGUAUGAAGAAGGCCUUCGGGUUGUAAAGCACUUUCAGCGGGGAGGCGUUACCCGCAGAAGAAGCACCGGCUAACUCCGUGCCAGCAGCCGCGGUAAUAC